AUUGAACGCUGGCGGCAGGCCUAACACAUGCAAGUCGAACGAGUGGCGGACUGGUGAGUAAUGUCUGGGAAACUGCCCGAUGGAGGGGGCUCACUACUGGAAACGGUAGCUAAUCCCGCAUACCAUCGGAUGUGCCCAGAUGGGAUUAGCUAGUAGGUGGGGUAAUGGCUCACCUAGGCGACGAUCCCUAGCUGGUCUGCGAGGAUGAAGAGCCACACUGGAAGUGAGAAACGGUCCAGAAUCCUACGGGAGGCAGCAGUGGGGAAUAUUGCACAAUGGGCGAAAGCCUGAUGCAGCCAUGCCGCGUGGAUGAAGAAGGCCUUCGGGUUGUAAAGUACUUUCAGCGAGGAGGCGUUACUCGCAGAAGAAGCACCGGCUAACUCCGUGCCAGCAGCCGCGGUAAUAC
rnacentral:rRNA from 1 species